AUUUUUUCAUCAACAAAGAAAAUCUACACGAAUGUUGCAGUUUGAGGCCAUUUUAAUAAAUAAUAAUCUACAAAUGCCAUUGAAACAAAGGAUGAAGUUGAAAGGGAAUUCAAACUUAAAUUUCAAAGCACACAUUGCAUAUUUGGGCUGCAUGUGAUUUGAAACUUCAAUUUCAAAACAAAAUAUGCAUAAUCGGUCUUCCUACAACAAUAUUCUUAUUAGCGUUUUCUUCAAGAUCUCUACAGAUCACACCGACAGUACAGAUGAGGAAGAAGAGUUCAAAGGAUUUCCUGAUGGAUCACAGGAUACUAGGAGAGUUUGGGAACCUAUUACAAAACCAGUAGCAGAUCACUAAAAAGCCCUAGUACAAUGUGGUAGAGUGUCUCGCAAAAUCAGAACUCCGAAUCGUUUCGCUGAUUAUAUGAUUCGAAAUCGUUGAUCGUUUUAUAAUGAAAAGGGGAUGUGGUGUUACAUCUAGUAUUCAUAGGCGUGUAA